rnacentral:rRNA from 1 species
UAAGACAGGGGGUGCAAACGUUGCUCGGAAUCACUGGGCGUAAAGCGCACGUAGGCGGUCCCGUAAGUCAGGUGUGAAAUCCCUCGGCUCAACCGAGGAACUGCGCCUGAUACUGCGGGGCUUGAGGACGGGAGGAGAAAGUGGAAUUCCUGGUGGAGCGGUGAAAUGCGUAGAUAUCAGGAGGAACACCGGUGGCGAAAGCGACUUUCUGGUCCGUUCCUGACGCUGAGGUGCGAAAGCUAGGGGAGCAAACGGGAUUAGAUACCCCGGUAGUCCUAGCUGUAAACGAUGGGCACUGGGUAGAGGGAAAUUCCUAUGUUUCUCUCUGCCGGAGCUAACGCGUUAAGUGCCCCGCCUGGGGAGUAUGCUCGCAAGGGUA